UUGGAGGGCAAGUCUGGUGCCAGCAGCCGCGGUAAUUCCAGCUCCAAUAGCGUAUAUUAAAGUUGUUGCAGUUAAAAAGCUCGUAGUUGAAUUUCGGGAUCAAUAUAUCGGUCGUGCCAUCGGUACGUACUGGUAUGAUUGGUUUCUCCUUUCUGACGAACCAUGAUGUCAUUAAUUUGGUGUUAUGGGAAGUUAGGACUGUUACUUUGAAAAAAUUAGAGUGUUUAAAGCAGGCUUUAGCUUGAAUACAUUAGCAUGGAAUAAUGAAAUAGGACGUUCGAACCUAUUUUGUUGGUUUCUAGGAUCGACGUAAUGAUUAAUAGGGAUAGUUGGGGGCAUUAGUAUUCAAUUGUCAGAGGUGAAAUUCUUGGAUUUAUUGAAGACUAACUACUGCGAAAGCAUUUGCCAAGGAUGUUUUCAUUAAUCAAGAACGAAAGUUAGGGGAUCGAAGACGAUCAGAUACCGUCGUAGUCUUAACCAUAAACUAUGCCGACUAGGGAUCGGAUGAUGUUAAUUUUUUAAUGACUCAUUCGGCGCCUUACGGGAAAC
rnacentral:rRNA from 1 species